CCUAAUACAUGCAAGUCGAACGAGUUCUGAUUAUUGAAAGGUGCUUGCAUCUUGAUUUAAUUUUGAACGAGUGGCGGACGGGUGAGUAACACGUGGGUAACCUGCCCUUAAGUGGGGGAUAACAUUUGGAAACAGAUGCUAAUACCGCAUAAAUCCAAGAACCGCAUGGUUCUUGGCUGAAAGAUGGCGUAAGCUAUCGCUUUUGGAUGGACCCGCGGCGUAUUAGCUAGUUGGUGAGGUAACGGCUCACCAAGGCAAUGAUACGUAGCCGAACUGAGAGGUUGAUCGGCCACAUUGGGACUGAGACACGGCCCAAACUCCUACGGGAAGCAGCAGUAGGGAAUCUUCCACAAUGGACGCAAGUCUGAUGGAGCAACGCCGCGUGAGUGAAGAAGGCUUUCGGGUCGUAAAACUCUGUUGUUGGAGAAGAAUGGUCGGCAGAGUAACUGUUGUCGGCGUGACGGUAUCCAACCAGAAAGCCACGGCUAACUACGUGCCAGCAGCCGCGGUAAUACGUAGGUGGCAAGCGUUAUCCGGAUUUAUUGGGCGUAAAGCGAGCGCAGGCGGUUUUUUAAGUCUGAUGUGAAAGCCCUCGGCUUAACCGAGGAAGUGCAUCGGAAACUGGGAAACUUGAGUGCAGAAGAGGACAGUGGAACUCCAUGUGUAGCGGUGAAAUGCGUAGAUAUAUGGAAGAACACCAGUGGCGAAGGCGGCUGUCUGGUCUGUAACUGACGCUGAGGCUCGAAAGCAUGGGUAGCGAACAGGAUUAGAUACCCUGGUAGUCCAUGCCGUAAACGAUGAAUGCUAGGUGUUGGAGGGUUUCCGCCCUUCAGUGCCGCAGCUAACGCAUUAAGCAUUCCGCCUGGGGAGUACGACCGCAAGGUUGAAACUCAAAGGAAUUGACGGGGGCCCGCACAAGCGGUGGAGCAUGUGGUUUAAUUCGAAGCAACGCGAAGAACCUUACCAGGUCUUGACAUCUUUUGAUCACCUGAGAGAUCAGGUUUCCCCUUCGGGGGCAAAAUGACAGGUGGGUGCAUGGUUGUCGUCAGCUCGUGUCGUGAGAUGUUGGGGUUAAGUCCCGCAACGAGCGCAACCCUUAUGACUAGUUGCCAGCAUUUAGUUGGGCACUCUAGUAAGACUGCCGGUGACAAACCGGAGGAAGGUGGGGAUGACGUCAAAUCAUCAUGCCCCUUAUGACCUGGGCUACACACGUGCUACAAUGGAUGGUACAACGAGUUGCGAGACCGCGAGGUCAAGCUAAUCUCUUAAAGCCAUUCUCAGUUCGGACUGUAGGCUGCAACUCGCCUACACGAAGUCGGAAUCGCUAGUAAUCGCGGAUCAGCACGCCGCGGUGAAUACGUUCCCGGGCCUUGUACACACCGCCCGUCACACCAUGAGAGUUUGUAACACCCGAAGCCGGUGGCGUAACCCUUUUAGGGAGCGAGCCGUCUAAGGUGGAC
rnacentral:rRNA from 2 species